GGAAACACUCCACUUUUGUUUGCUAUAAAUUCCAGGAGACAGCAUAUGGUGGAAUUUUUAUUGAAGAACCAGGCAAAUAUACAUGCCGUUGACAAUUUCAAAAGAACAGCCCUCAUACUUGCAGUACAGCAUAACUUGUCAAGUAUCGUCACCCUCCUGCUUCAACAAAAUAUACAUAUCUCUUCUCAAGACAUGUUUGGCCAAACUGCCGAGGAUUAUGCUUUUUGUUGUGAUUUGAGAAGCAUCCGACAACAAAUUUUGGAACAUAAAAAUAAGAUGCUUAAAAAUCAUCUUCGAAAUGACAAUCAAGAAGCAGCAGCCAUGAAGAAUGAAAGUUUUAAAACACAAGGAGCAAGUUCAAAAGGUAGGACACCUGAGUGAACUUUGUAGAGUUUAUGAGCAGUUCAAAUUUACUAGUGC
rnacentral:sRNA from 1 species